UUAACCAGCCAGAUUAGAAGGGUCUUGGAUUCCUUUGUAAGGCGCAGCAAAAAAGACAAUCAGAUACAAUAUCAGGGAUCUUCUGGUAAGGCUUCUGGCUACCAUUAGUUCUGAAUACUGAGAAUUUGAGGAGAAAAAUGGCUGUGAGUUUUGAAAUGUCUUUGAGGUAAUUAUAGAUAUAUUCCCCAAAAUCAAUUAAAAGGAAUUGGCCACAAAGCAGCGGUAACUACCGGAUCCCGUGCCUCGGCAGGUGAAGCUACCGGAUCCCGUGCCUCGGCAGGUGAAGCAGCCUCCCGUAAUGCCACUGCAAGCGUCACGACUGGCCCAAAUACCUUAGGUGGAGCAACCGGAUCCCGUGCCUCAGAAGCAGUCACCCACAAUGCCUCAGCAAGCGUCACGACUGGCCCAAAUACCUUAGCUGAAGCAACUGGCCACAAUGCUUCAUCAAGCGCCACGACUGGCCCAAAUGCCUUAGGUCAAGCAGCUGGCUAUAGUGCCUCGGCAGAGGAAGCAACUGGCCACAGUGUCGCGCAAGCGGCCACCCAUAAUGCCUCGGCAAGUGUGGCAACUGGCCCAAAUACCUUAGGUGAAGCAACUGGCCACAAUGCUUCAUCAAGAGUCACGACUGGCCCAAAUACCUUAGCUGAAGCAACUGGCCACAAUGCUUCAUCAAGCGCCACGACUGGCCCAAAUGCCUUAGGUCAAGCAGCUGGCUAUAGUGCCUCGGCAGAGGAAGCAACUGGCCACAGUGUCGCGCAAGCGGCCACCCAUAAUGCCUCGACAAGUGUGGCAACUGGCCCAAAUACCUUAGGUGAAGCAACUGGCCACAAUG